rnacentral:tRNA from 1 species
GAGAGCGUAGCUCAGUGGUAGAGUACGUGCCUAGCGUGCACAAGGACCUGGGUUCAAUCCCCAGCACCUCCA